rnacentral:rRNA from 1 species
AUUGAACGCUGGCAGCAGGCCUAACACAUGCAAGUCGAACGAGUGGCGGACGGGUGAGUAAUGUCUGGGAAACUGCCUGAUGGAGGGGGAUAACUACUGGAAACGGUAGAUAAUACCGCAUACCAUCAGAUGUGCCCAGAUGGGCUGAGCUUGUUGUUGGGGUAACGGCUCACAAAGGAGACGAUCCCUAGCUGGUCUGAGAGGAUGACCAGCCACACUGGAACUGAGACACGGUCCAGACGCCUACGGGAGGCAGCAGUGGGGAAUAGUGGACAAGGGGCGAAAGCCUGAUCCACCCAUGCCGCGUGUGUGAAGAAGGUCGUCGGAUUGUAAAGCACGUUAAGUUGGGAGGCGUGACCAACAGAAUAAGCACCGGCUAACUUCGUGCCAGCAGCCGCGGUAAUAC